CCUACGGGAGGCAGCAGUGGGGAAUAUUGCACAAUGGGCGCAAGCCUGAUGCAGCCAUGCCGCGUGUAUGAAGAAGGCCUUCGGGUUGUAAAGUACUUUCAGCGGGGAGGAAGGGAGUAAAGUUAAUACCUUUGCUCAUUGACGUUACCCGCAGAAGAAGCACCGGCUAACUCCGUGCCAGCAGCCGCGGUAAUAAGG
rnacentral:rRNA from 1 species